ACAUAAUAGGAUUUCAAUAAACCCUAACCCAAUUAAACUUCACAAGCCCAAUUGGCAAAUUCGAGAUUAAAUCUCUUAAUGUGUGACCUCAUGUGUUCUAUUUUAUCUGGUAGUGAGAUAUAUUAUGAUCUCCAUCAUAAUAUCAUUGAAACUAUUUUGAUGGAUUGGAAUAUUUUCAAUUCUACCUUUUAAGGAUCAUCGAUCAUCAAGAUGAUGCUCGAUGACUC
rnacentral:lncRNA from 1 species